GACGAACGCUGGCGGCGUGCUUAACACAUGCAAGUCGAACGGUGAUCUUGGGAGCUUGCUCCUGGGUGAUCAGUGGCGAACGGGUGAGUAACACGUGAGUAACCUGCCCCUGACUCUGGAACAACCCCGGGAAACCGGGGCUAAUACCGGAUAUGACAUCAUCCCGCAUGGGUGUGGCGUGGAAAGUUUUUUCGGUUGGGGAUGGGCUCGCGGCCUAUCAGCUUGUUGGUGAGGUAGUGGCUCACCAAGGCGACGACGGGUAGCCGGCCUGAGAGGGCGACCGGCCACACUGGGACUGAGACACGGCCCAGACUCCUACGGGAGGCAGCAGUGGGGAAUAUUGCACAAUGGGCGGAAGCCUGAUGCAGCGACGCCGCGUGAGGGAUGACGGCCUUCGGGUUGUAAACCUCUUUCAGCUCUGAAGAAGCGAAAGUGACGGUAGGAGCAGAAGAAGCACCGGCUAACUACGUGCCAGCCGCCGCAGUAAGAC
rnacentral:rRNA from 1 species